AUGAAAAAUCUUACACUGGAGAGAAACCCUAUGAGUGUAAGUAAUGUGGGAAAGCCUUUGUUUCUUUCACUUCUUUUCAAUAUCAUGAAAGGACUCACACUGGAGAGAACCCCUAUGAGUGUAAGCAAUGUGGGAAAGCCUUCAGAUCUACCUCACACCUUUGACAGCAUGGUAGGACUCACACUGGAGAGAAACCCUAUGAAUGUAAGCAAUGUGGGAAAGCCUUCAGAUCUGUCAAAAAUCUUCGAAUUCAUAAAAGGACACACACUGGAGAGAAACCCUAUGAAUGUUAAGAAAUGUGAAAAAGCGUUCCAUAAUUUCUCUUCUUUGCAAAUACAUGAAAGGAUGCACAGAGGAGAGAAGCCCUGUGAAUGUAAGCAUUGUGGGAAAGCAUUCAUAUCUGCCAAGAUCCUUUGAAUACAUGCAAGAACACACAAUGGAGAGAAACUCUAUGAAUGUAAAGAACGCAGAAAAGCAUUCAGCUUGCCUACUUCCUUUCAUAGACAUGAAAAGACUCACACUGGAAGGAAACCCUAUGAAGGCAAGCAAUGUGGCAAAGCUUUCACUUCUUCCAGUUCUUUUCAAUAUCAUGAAAUAACUCACACCAGGGAGAAACCCUAUCAGUGUAAGCAAUGUGUGAAAGCCUUUAUUUCUUCCACUUCUUUUCAAUAUCAUGAAAGGACUCACAUGGGAGAGAAACCCUAUGAAUGCAAGCAAUGUAGGAAAGCCUUCAGAUCAGCCUCACACCUUCAAAUGCAUGGAAGGACUCACACUGGAGAGAAACCCUAUGAAUGUAAGCAGUAUGGGAAAGCAUUCAGACCUGACAAGAUUCUUUGAAUACAGAUAAUGAAUGUAAACAAUUAACUUUAUAAUAAAUGUAUACUAACAAAUGUUAUUCUUUUUAAAUAAGAAGCUAUAAUAAAAUAUCCCAUUGGUGUCAUGUAUUAGAUCAAA